CAUCUCGAGUUUUUGUUUAGGAUGUAAUAUACGAGGAUUCAAGCAGUGAUACCAGCGAUUCAAUCGGCCAAAUAAAUCUUGUUGGUGGAGGUAUACUAAAGACGAUGUCUGGCGUGACCCUGGCUCCGACCUCUAUGACUCUGAGUAAUGGUUCUGCACUGGGUGGGAGCACUGUGACCCUGACCCCUACUGGGUCAAUAGCUCCGGGUCAGAGUCUGCUUCAUUCAAGCAUCAGAGUCCAACCAGGACAAUCUUUGCUUCUGACUGAGCCUAUGAGGAAGAAGAAGAAGAUUAAUUAGUUCGGAUUCGUAUUCCUUUAACUAUCCUUUCCUUACGCCAUCAUCUUCCUUCCGCCAUCAUCCUCCUUCCGCCACAUCUUCCUUCCGCCAUCAUUUUCCUUCCGCCAUCAUUUUCCUUCCGACAUCAUUUUCCUACGCCAACAUUCUCCUUACGCCAACAUCUUCCUUUCAACACAAUUUUCCUUCCGCCAUCAGUUUCCUUUCGCCAUCAUGUUUCUUCUGCCAUCAUUUUUAUGAUUUUCAGUAGUCAAUCAUCAUCAAACCCGUCUGCCAUCUUCAAGCACAUUGGGUCAUCAUUCUUUUUGUCUCUCCUCCUAUUACAUCAAUAGUUUUACGUUCCUUGCUUGUUAUCUUGUUAGUACUAACGUUUAACUUCAAAGCUGCCUUAUAUAUUGAUGUUUAAAUACUUUUCAUUAACAAAUCUAAUUCCUUUCAUCUUUGCAGAUAAUUUUCUGAUCCAGCUGACAUCCUAGUAUAUAAUCGGGGGGAUUAUAUAGAAUAGAAAUGUGUUUUUCUAGAAGGAAAAUAAUUUUUAUAGAUUUUCAUGCUUCCUAAAUUCGACACUAUUCUACAUGGAUACGAUUAAAUAUAUCUAAUUGUCUUCACUUGACCCAAAAAAUUGUCCCACGAAAUAUAUAGAAUCAUGGGGCAGUUACUGAGGGUGAAGGAGAGUCAAGAUAUUGUAUUCUAGGACAAAGCUGUGAUCCAUUCAUUCCUUUUAUUUUAUAAUUCAUCACUCCUCUUCUUUUGGAUUGUUUUUCAUCACAGAAGGUAUCUUCAGUCUUUACUUAAAUCUUCUCCCACUUCACUCCUCAUCCGUAAUAUUUGAGAUGCGAUUUUAGAUAAAUGUCUAGUAACCUUUUAGCUCUAUUUUUUACUUAAAUGGUUGCUCAGAUUUUUAUUUGCAUAAUUGACUAUUCGCUCUCAUUUGAAUCCUGGUUAUUAGUUCUCAUUGGAGUCCUGGUCAUUAGCUCUCGAUAGAGUCAUGGUCAUUAUCUCUCAUUUGACUCUUGUCCAUGAGCUCUCUUUUGAGUUGUGACCAGUUAGUUCUCAUUUGGGUCAUGGCCAUUAGAUCUAUAAGGAGCCGUGGCCAGUGGUUCUCAUUGGAGUCAUGGCCAUUGGCUCUCAUUUGAGUCCUAGUUAUUAGCUCUCAUUGGAGACAUGGUCAUUAGCUCUCAUUGAAGUCCUGGUUAAUAGCUCUCUCAUUGAAGUCGUGGCCAUUAGCUUCCGUUCGAGUUUUGACCAGCAGUUCUCAUUGGAGUCAUGGUCAUUAUAUCUCUUAGGAGUCCUGGCCAGUAGUUCUAAUUGGAGUCUUGGUCAUUAGCUCUCAUUUGAGUCCUAGCAAAAAGUUCUCAUGGAAUUCUGGCUUUAGGCUCAUAUUGGAGUCCUGGUCAUUAUCUUAGGCUAUAAGAACUCGUUAGAGUCCCUUAGUGCAUGGGGCAUUUACUUUUACACUUUGUAUCAACAUUUAUAGAUGUUCUUUAGACGCCAAUUUAAAAUAAAUCGUCAAACGACGUCUUUUAUCGUCAGGAAGAUGUCUCUAAAAUGUUUUCGGUAAAUCAAUUUUUUUUUGUUUUAAUAUGUUUUUUUUU